rnacentral:rRNA from 1 species
AUUGAACGCUGGCGGCAGGCCUAACACAUGCAAGUCGAACGAGUGGCGGACGGGUGAGUAAUGUCUGGGAAACUGCCUGCUGGAGGGGGAUAACUACUGGAAACGGUAGCUAAUACCGCAUACCAUCGGAUGUUCCCAGAUGGGAGUAGCUAGUCGCUGGGGUAACGGCUCACCUGGGCGACGAUCCCUAGCUGGUCUGAGAGGAUGACCGGCAACAAUGGAAGUGAGACAGGGUCCAGACUCCUACGGGAGGAAGCAGUGGGGAAUAUUGCACAAUGGGCGCAAGCCUGAUGCAGCCAUGACGCGUGUAUGAAGAAGGCCUUCGGGUUGUAAAGUACUUUCAGGGGGGAGGCGUUACCCGCAGAAGAAGCACAGGCUAGCUCCGUGCAAGCCGCCGCGGUAAUUC